AUUAGUACAAUGUUGUUUUCUCUGUUUCAAGUUCUUUGGCAGGUGCCCCUUUUUUCUACUCCCUCUAUGUAUCAACGGAUCAGGGUUUUUGAAUGACGCGUUAACAGAAAACGUUGAGAGAAAAAAUGGCUUAUGUUGUCAUCUGAUAAUAAUUCUUGGUGAACUUUGUAGGUUGUCUUUCUUAUGUGGCAUUUGUAUUGUGCAUGUUUUAACAUCAAAACUGAUGAGUGCAUGGGUAAAUUCUAUAUUUAUAAAUUAAAAAAUCGGAUAAGGGAUUUUACGCUCUUACAUUUGGAAAUUAAAGUACUUCCCAUGUCUCUUUUGGGUUGAAUCUAGGUCAUGACGCGUUCUUCUUUUUUAAUAAUUUACACUUUAUUUUAAUUUUCUUAGGGACGGGAUGGGGUUACCAUCAAUAAGAAGUUGGUAAUGGAUGGAUAUAUGGAGGGAUGUGAGAUGGGGUAAGUUUUCCACAUCAAGUACAUGUUCGGAUUCGGAGUUCUGGAAGUGAGUUUCAUUUUACAUAUUUUGAACCUGGCCCUUGCUGAGUAUUUUAUUGGUUAAUUGAGAAAUAAGGUGCAUAUGAAAAUGGAGAAAUCUCCCUUGAAUUUCAUCCUAAAGACUAUUUUAUUCUGAACUGCAGUCUCCAUUUAGAUUUCUAUCCCCCUUUUAUGUAAGAUCUCUUCAAAAGGAUCAUAUAUUUGUAAAGGAGAUGAGUGUCAAUCAAGGUGGAAAAUCAUACUGCGAGCUUGUUUGGCUAAGCUCAAAAUAUUUAGUUAUAAAAUAAGUUUACUUGUAAGUAAAUAAGAAGUUUUUUAAUGUAUCUAAUUUGGAAAUAAAUAAGCUAUUGAAAGUAAGGCAAGAGUUAGCUUGAAAAUAUGUAAUUUUUACUUAAAAAGUAAAGAAAAGGUAACUUGUUCAAACUGCUUGAAAAUAAGUAUAAUUUUUACUUGCGAGUAAAUAAAAAGGAACUUGUUCAAACAUGUUUGAAAACAAACGUGUAGCGAUGACAAAUUUACUAAAAGCUGAAGUGUCCGGCUAAACUUACUAUUAUAUUGUUGCUCUUUGUGAUUCGGCCAUUUGUUUAUCCGAGUUCAGCCGAUAUAUUGUGAUUACUUGUGUUGUGUGGAUGUAUUUGGUGACCUAAAAAUUCAUUUUUGCAGAUAAAUUGGAAGACGUAUCCAGAAUUCCACGAUAAGGUUCUCUCUGAUGCAGGUAAUUCACUAGAACUCUUUUCCAUGAUAUGGUGUUAUGCUCUAAUUUUGUUCUUCCUCCCACCAUUUUUGUCUUGGACAACCCCAAAUUGGCCUUCAGUUGAAGAAUCCACAUGACAAGGGAAUUCUGAGCAAUCUGAAGGAGUCCCUGACAGCGAAAGGAUAAUGCUCAUGUACCUUUUUGUGUAUAACUUGUGUAGUUUUACAACAUUAAACUGCUUCCUUAACUUGACCAGGCGGGUACAUGUGGAUCUCUUGAUGAGGGGCGAAAGUUCACAGGUUCACGAUCGAUGAUAUUAUCGUGUCUAUAGUAUAUUUACAUAUGAUUCUUGAUUAGGGGCAAUAGUCAGCCUGAAUCGGGUCGGGCUGGAUUGUCAAUUUUUUACGAAAAUGUAAACCUGUCUUGAAAAUAGCGGCCGAGCUACUGGGCCGCUUGAAGAAAAAUUGUGCUAGCCCGACGCGGCCAUUUUUACCUGGAUGAUGGAUAUUAGAACAAAAAGGAUGUUAGAUGAACAAGUAAUAGUACACGUGCAUGUUUGGCAAAGCUUAAAUUAUAGUUUAAACUAAUCGAAUAUAUUUGUUA
rnacentral:lncRNA from 1 species